CCCCAUUUUCCCCCUAAUACUAGUUAGAAGAGAAAAGGGAUCCAUGAAUCUAAACUUCUUUACUUUGUUUUCCUGACCAAGACCAUAAUCAACUUAUCACCACCCCCUCACACAAUCCAUUACCCAUUGUAUGACCAAAAAAUUACCCAUCCCAGUUCUUGGAAGUGAGGAGGCAUCUUUGUUCUUAGAAUUGCUUUCUGCUUUCCGGGGGCAAUGGCAUCUUGGGGGCCCUAAGAAAACCAUGAUAAUGACCAAGUCCUGGGAAAGCUAGCUGUAUCAUUUGUUGUCCAGUCUCUGUGUGAUAGGAAAGUGCAGGACUUAAAGUUAAAAAUGCACUAUAUAAUCUAUCUCUGGGAGUCCUUCUUACCCCUUUCAGUUUAUUAAGCAUACCUUUCAAAGUACUAUUAGAUCUUUCUCUACCUGGUUGUCCUGUAGGAUUGUGUGGUAUACUUGUAACAUGCUUUAUGUUGUAACAUGCAAAAAAACUGCUUUGCUGUUUUUUUUUUUAAAAACAAAACAAAACAAAACAAAACAAAAUCAUUUGACUUACAAAUGAAGACUUAGGAGCCAGGUGCUGUGGUGAAAGCCUGUUAGCUCAGAGAGGCUGAGAAAGCACCCAGUUGAGCUUCCUCCUCAACCCAUGUCACAGAAGGAACAAACCAAACCAAACCAAACCAAAACCAAACAAACAGAAAACCCUUCUCUACGUCUUAAAAUGCCUUUCAAACUGAAUGUUUUUCAUUUCUACGUCCUAUGCAUCACUUUAUCCAUCCUCCUGACUUCCUCUCAUUCUCUAUGGUAUUUUCCUAUCUUCACUCCCUGUCAAUUGGUUGCUUGCUCUGACUCUUGGGUUAUGUUUGAUUUUAUUCCAUUUUGUUUACAAUAAACAGAAAGCACUGGGAUUAAAGGUGUGUGCUAGGACUGAGCCCCACCACAACUAGAGACAGGUUUUCCCAGUUUAUAGUCUUUGACUUCACAUUGUGAUCAACUAUCCUACAACACUAAUCCCCACAGAAUAUUAUCUGACUCUCCUAUUAUCUACUACUGGUUGAAUUCAAAGCUUAGUCUGCUUUAUAAGCCUUUAUAAGAUCAUAUAGCAUAUCUUUUUUUUUUUUUUGGUCUUGUGAGAGAGGACCUGUAGGACCCUGGUAGACUCUUAAUCUUAAAAACCUCAAUGAGACAUAGCUCUUGGUUGAGAGGUUUGAUCAUGUACUGUGGUAGGCUCAUCAUGUUCUUCAGACAGUAAAGCACUUGACUUUGAUAAAUUACCUUUGUCUCAUCCUUCCCUCACAAUAGUGUUGCCAUGUCUGCAUCUCACUUUAUGGUUAAGCAGAUAUUUCUGAUUAAUAUUUUGAUCAGCAUUAUAUACAAAACUAUUUUGCAUUAGUUUUGCAACUUUUUGUAAGUUGGCAGUGGGAUUAAGGCAUUUGUGUUUGAUCACUGGUACCUUCACAAUGGUGGGAGGAGAGGAUCACCAUCAGGUAGUUGUCCUUUGACUUCUACAUAUGCUGUGGUAUUGAUGCAGACACACAUGAUGAUGAUGACAAUGACUACUUUAUUCUAUUUAGUACAUUUUUGUUUUUAUGAAACAGGGCUUCUUUUUGUAGCCCUGGACAUCCUGGAACUUGCUCUGUAGAUCAACGCUGUCCUCAAACUCAGAGAUCCACCUGUCUUUGCUUGCCAAGUGCUAAGAUUAAAGACAAGCGCCACCACCAUUUAGAACAACAAUUUAAACAUUAUUUCACUGGUUUUAAGUUUUAAACAGCAGCCUAUGUUGUAUUUGUACUGUAUCAAGUGGAAUUCCCUAGUCACUGUCCAGGAUCUUUGGUAGAUUGUAAAUGUGGGUGAAUAGGAAAAUGCAUGAAACUGUUGCCUUGUGAGGGUUUUGAUUAUAUUAACUGACAUUGUUUUGAACAUUACUGCAUGGUGCACACUCAUUGAUUUUAACAUUCCAGUUACCUUAAUCUUUAUCAGGAUAUAGCAAAAGAUACUGCUCUGACUUGCAGUAUUUGUAUGACUGUUGAGCAUAAUAUUUAUCUGACCCUACUACUCUUAUAGACAGCUGGAAAGUGUAAUUUAUGAGCUCAGAAGGCUACAGAUUUUCACUGUUGUCUUGAGAGGGAUUGUAAAAGUUGUUAUAUAGUUUUCACAGGCAACAGCACUUACUUAUUUUUCUGAUUCUGUUUUCCACUUUUUUCUCUCUUAUGAGCAGAGCUCUCUGGUUUCCAAACUUGACAUUUUUUCUAAUCAAAACAAAGAAAUUUGUGAUGCUGCAAAUGCAAGAAACUAAGGUGGAAGAGAAUGGAAGGAAAUCUUGUCCAGUUUGGAAGAAACAUGCUGAUCCAGAGGAGGCAUUUCUCAGAUUGACUCACCAGAAAUAACCGGGAAGAAAUGACAUGAAAAUUGAUUGAAAUCAGGAUUUUACAUUUGAAAAUAAGUAGGCAUAUGAAGACAUGAAGGAGAACUCACAGAGAAUAUGAGAAUUCAUAUUUUUCAUAAACAGUCAAAUCUCAUACAAGAGAUUUCAUACUGGAGAUAAAACUCAACUGUGAAAAGUCCUUCCAAGCAAAGACAAAUUUCUUACAACAUCAGAGACUUUAUACAGGAGAGAAAUUCUAUCAAUGCAAGGACUGUGGCAAAGUCUUUUGUCAGAACCCACUUAUUAAAGAUCAAUGAUGAAUUCAUACUUAAGAAGAGCCAUAUAAAUGUCGGGAAUGUGACAAAGUCCUUAAUGAAAGUACCUCACUCAGUAAACAUCAGAGAAUUCACACGGGAGUGAGAUCCUACACAUGUAAUGAGUGUGGUAAAACCUUCAUUCAGAGCAUUUGCCUUGAUCAGCAUCAGAGACAUCACACUGAAGAAAAACUGUAUAAAUGCAAUGCAUGUGUUAAGAGUUUAACCAGAAUACCAGUCUCACUCAGCAUAUGAGAAUUCAUACUGGAGAAAAGCCUUAUUAAUGUAAGGAAUGUGGAAAUCCUUUUGCUCAUAGCUCAUCUCUUACUGAACACCAUAGGACUCACACUGGUGGGAAGCUCUCUAACUGUAGAGAACCUGAGAAAACCUUCCAAUAAUAUGCUCUUGUAGGACCCCCGAUAUGGGGACCUCCACUCUAGUUCAGGGAUAGGGUGCACCCACGAACACACAAGAAUCCUUCUUGAUACAAUACACACGAGGCUUUAUUGGCAGAGCUCUGGGCUGACACGUACCUCACACAGGAGGCAGGGGAGUCGACCCCGAGGCUCGAAAGCUAGGGGUUUUUAAAGAAGAAAAGGGUUAGGGGUGCCAGGAAUUUCGACAAAGGUAUGGGAUUGGCUCAUUAAAACAUUAACAAAAAGAUUACAUGUCAGCAAAGGGCAUCAGGACUUUGUUCCUGUGGGCUGAGUGCUUAUCUCUGUUCGCAUAGCAACGAGUUGAUGUAUGACUUUACCCUGCCUCAAGGGGCAAUAGACAGAGGGGAGGUUCCGGCCAGAUGGUGUUAGACAAGAUAGCCCUGCUUGUGUCCUUGCAUUCCUUUUUAUCUUUAUGGUCAAGCUGUUCUUAGGAAUGUCUUAACAACAGCCCUGCCCUGGCAUGUAUGCCUGGGCCUGUUCUGCUUUGUUCUUGGCCCCAGGCCGUGGGCUCAUAAAUAACUCCUUUACAUGAAUCACAAGUUACAAAAUCUCAUUUUCCUUCACUCUCCUUAGUGAACAUUGCAGAAUUCACAUGGUGAGUGAGAAGCCUUAUGAAUGAGUUGCAUGUGGGAAGUUCUUAAGACACAUUUACUCCUUUUUAGAUAUGAAAAACUACACAUGGUCAACUAAGUGUAACCUUUAGUUUAUGGCGUUUUUCCUAGUGGAUGACUAUGAUUGUUGUAGGAAGGAGAGGAACGGUAAGGAAAUAGCCUGGUGUACUGUACUCUGAAAGUGUCCCAGGAAUGGAGAAUACAGAGCUUAUUCUGGGCAGAUGUGAGUUGAUAGGAUAGAAAAAGAACAUUCUAUGUUUUCAGAUAAAGCCUUCCUAGUUUGUGUAAAUUUCAAAGCAGAGUCUCUCUUUAGGUGCAUUAUCUUGAUACACAGCUUGCCAAAUUGUCAAUUUUCAGUCACGAUACCAACUGAUGAACACCCUGCAAAUGCAAUGAAUGUGGUAAUGCCAGGCCCUUCUAAUGAAGUUCAAGUCCUUUCAUCUGGCCUAUGCCUAUACCACACGUCUUGGUUGCCCAUCUGUUAAGGAUUCUGCAAUAUCACUACUGCAAACUUUGGUAUAUUUGGUAUAUUAUCACAAACAAUUUUUACUGGGAGCCUCCCGGCCCAGGACUGGGUAUUGGUGGAGUCACAGAGUAGGACUCUGGUGAUGGCUUUAAAAUCUGAGGGUCUCAGGGCUUUCUAGCUCUCUAAUUAUACUGAAAUGCUGAUGAUAACUUCUAAAAUGUCCUAAAAACUUUCUUGCUCUUUCUGAGGGUAAAAGACUGCAGGUUUAGGCAAUUAACACCGGUAGCCUAACAGAGGAUUAAGCAAUGCAGCCUUUGUUCUAUCUCAGCAGGAACUAACUAGUCAGAAGUAGCAGGAAGAGAAGUCACUUAGAGAAGUGAUUAUAGCGUUUAUUACUAAGUUGUAAAAAGUUUCCUAUGAAAGCUAUCUGUACUGGCUAGUGUUGUGUCAACUUGACACAGCUGGGGUUAUCACAGAGAAAGGAGCUUCAGUUGAGGAAAUGCCUCCAUGAGAUCCAACUGUAAGGCAUUUUCUCAAUUAGUGAUCAAGGGGGAAAGGCCCCUUGUGGGUGGGACCAUCUCUGGGCUGGUAGUCUUGGGUUUUAUAAGAGAGCAGGCUAAGCAAGCCAGUAAAGAACAUCCCUCCAUGGCCUCUGCAUCAGCUCCUGCUUUCUGACCUGCUUGAGUUCCAGUCCUGCAUCCUUUGGUGAUCAACAGCAGUAUGGAAGUGUAAGCUGAAUAAACCCUUUCCUCCCCAACUUGCUUCUUGGUCAUGAUGUUUGUGCAGGAAUAGAAACCCUGACUAAGACACUAUCUAAGGGGAAAAGUAGAAAGAUCCUAAGUGGUGGGGGGCGGGGGGAGGGAAAAAUUCUUUAAGUGGGGAAAAGGAAAAAAUUCUAGUCUAAGUGGAGAAAGGCAAAAAAGUCCCCUCCAUAGAUCCCGCUCAUCUUUGUCCUCAGUACUUAUAUACAUCUUUCAGAAUAUGUGAUCACGUUACAAAGUUCAUCAGAAGUUCACACAAAAAAUCAAAUCAUAAAUUGAAAUAGAAGUUUACCACAGUGAAGUUUUACAUGCAUAUCCAUUAGGAGUGAUUAUCUGGCUAAACAUCCAUCACCUGUCUCAGCUCCACAGGUUCACUGAAGGGUUAACACCAUAACUAAGUUAUUAGUGAAGUUUUGUAUAGAUAAACCCAGUUGAUAUUUUAUCUUCUGUUCUAGCACCUAUGAUAAAUCGUUAGUUCCCUUUAUAUAGCCUUUGGUUAAUUGUUUUGCAACCGCUUGGAAUGUGCUCUGAGUAGAAGAAAGUCUGGUUACCAUAUAAGAGCAAUUAACUGGUGACCCUUGGGAGACUGGCAGAGUUCUCAUUGCAGCUUUGACUAUCAGGAAAGGAGCUAAUAGCAGUCCCGUUAUAAAAGAGCUUCAUAACCACAGAUAUAAUUUUAGGAAUUCUUAAAGGAUCAUCAUUAAGACUUAAGUCAUCUAUAUAGCAUCAUUACAAGACAUUACAUCUUCGUGGAUCUGCAGAGAUCUGCUCCAAAGGGGUGUGCUACUACUUAGUAGUAGUUAUAUAUGUUUAAUAAUAACAGGAAAAUCAUAUUAAUAGCAAGAAUCUUUCCUAAGAUGAGUCCCUUACAACCUAGCUUAAUAAGGGUUCACAUGUUGCAGAUUAUAUUAUAAUCCAAAGCAGGCCACUUCAGGAUGAUCACCUGCUAGUUAUUAGCUUAUCCCAUUAUGGCUCCUGACAAAUUUAGUCUAAGCUCCCUGCUUGUACCACUUAAUGAUAUGUUCAGCUAAUAUCUUAAAAAGUUUUCCCAGAGAGAAGGGACGCUUCUUCCAGCUGUGGAGGUACUAACAAUGGACGCUCAGAAAGAUGUUCAACCACCAAAGCAGCAGCCAAUGAUAGAUAUUUGUGGAGAGUGUCACACCGAAAAUGAGAUAAAGUCCAGGGAUCCCAUCAGAUGUAGAGAAUGUGGAUACAGAAUAAUGUACAAGAAAAGGACUAAAAGAUUGGUGGUUUUGAUGCUUGAUGAAAUGGGGGAGUUCAGAAGUGACUUCAUUCAUACAUUUGCCUCGUUGACAUUUCUCUUUAAUGUAUAGCAUUUGGCUUAGUUUACUUAAUGACAACAACUGUAUGCCUAUGAUUU
rnacentral:lncRNA from 1 species